rnacentral:misc_RNA from 1 species
GAUGAAGAACGUAGCGAAAUGCGAUAAGUAAUGUGAAUUGCAGAAUUCAGUGAAUCAUCGAAUCUUUGAACGCACAUUGCGCCCAUUAGUAUUCUAGUGGGCAUGCCUGUUCGAGCGUCAUUAAUUCCACUUAAGCCCUGCUUAGUGUUGGGAAUCUACUCUAGUGGUGCUUCCCUGGAGCUACCCCUGAAAGGGGGCUGGCCCGGUAGCUACCCUGUAGUUCCUCAAAGAUAGUGCGCGGAGUUGCGUGGUCCUCUGAGCUUAGUAACUAUACACCUAGCUUUUGAGUGUCCCGCGGCGCCUGCCGUUUAAACCCCAUCUUUUAAUGGUUGACCUCGGAUCAGGUAGGAAUACCCGCUGAACUUAAGCAUAUCAAUAAGCGGAGGA